CGGUCGGAGAUGGCUCCGUUGAACACUCCUUUAAGAACAAGGGUGCUGCGAAGACACAGACCCCUUCCUCUAGCGCCAAUCCUGUUGGUGCAAAAAUCUGCUUGCGCCGGAGAAGCUGGAGUCGGAGAAGCCGCGGUCGCCGUCGGGACCUACAAAGGAAGUCUAAACCGGAGGUGGGGUUGCUCCAGCAAGACCCUCCGACGCUCUAGUCAGUUC
rnacentral:lncRNA from 1 species